UACGUAGGGUGCAAGCGUUGUCCGGAAUUAUUGGGCGUAAAGAGCUCGUGAGCGGUUUGUCGCGUCUGCUGUGAAAACUCGGGGCUCAACCCCGAGCUUGCAGUGGGUACGGGCAGACUAGAGUGCGGUAGGGGAGACUGGAAUUCCUGGUGUAGCGGUGGAAUGCGCAGAUAUCAGGAGGAACACCGGUGGCGAAGGCGGGUCUCUGGGCCGAUACUGACGCUGAGGAGCGAAAGCGUGGGGAGCAAACAGG
rnacentral:rRNA from 1 species